UACGAAGGGGGGCUAGCGUUGUUCGGAAUUACUGGGCGUAAAGCGCGCGCAGGCGGCUAUCCAAGUCAGUGGUGAAAGCCCGGAGCUCAACUCCGGAACUGCCAUUGAAACUGUUUAGCUUGAGGACGAGAGAGGUGAGUGGAAUUCCCAGUGUAGAGGUGAAAUUCGUAGAUAUUGGGAAGAACACCGGUGACGAAGGCGGCUCACUGGCUCGUAUCUGACGCUCAGGCGCGACAGCGUGGGGAUCAAACAGG
rnacentral:rRNA from 1 species